AUAUAGAAGAAGACCCCCUUCGUCAACAGAAAAUCUGAAAUGACUUAUGGAAUAAUUACACUUUACAGAACCAUUCCUCUGAUAAUAAAAAGCACAAAUAAAGAGCUUCUACAUUUUGGGUUCAACAACCCCGACAAAACACUGACAGACUAAACAGAUUCUUUUCAAAAGGAUAUUUGAUGCAAGCUGCAGUACCUUCUGCAACCACCAGCAACAGAUUAGUUCUUGGUUUCACUUCUUAGGAAACAGGAAGGAUUUAUAACGGCUCACACACAGACAGACAGCAAUUCCCUAUCAGCAGCACACUAACAAAGGGUGAUGAGGAUGUCUGGAAGAGUCAUGAGUUGCUUUGCAGCUCUGUUCCUUGCACUGGCCUCUGUGUCAGCUGUAGAAAGACUCAAUUCAAUUAAUGAUUUGAAGAAAAUCAACUUUGGUCAAUCUGUGCCCAAACACACUCUUCUACUUCUCCACUGGUUUGCCAACGUAGUUGAAAUGGACAGCAACAACAUCAUAAGGUUGACCUUUGACCCAAACAAUGAAGAUUUUGGAUCGCAUCAUUAUGGCAACUAUGAGCAGGUGCUGGACCCACUGCCUCGGGGUUACAAGUACUACACUGUUGGAAAUCUUCUUCCAGACAAACAUGAACAACUUCCAGGUUAUGUCACUCAUCCCCGGGCAGAGUAUGUAGGAAGGAACCGGGACCGGAUUGUGUUCAGUGUAAGAAUGCAGAACAGAGGACGGCAACUGAUAGAUCGAGUGUACAUCACACAGCAUUAUGGGCACCAUAGAAAUACGACAUAUAAUCCUGAACAUACCUAUGAGAUCACGACUAACCUCCUGAGACAGAUCCGAGAGUUUUCUGUGGGAGGAUACUCACUGUCCAUUCUCAGAAAUCGCUAUGGAAGUAAUGCUAGUGAUUCCCAGUUAUCAGAAAUCAGAAACAUAUGGGGGAACCUUGCUUGUCUUGGACUGCUGUUGUUUAUUGUGAUCCAGGAAAGGUACAACUACAACCAACAAUGGUACCGCCUUCAGAGUGGGUCAACAGGAGGAAACAAGGUUGUGACACAACCUUACAUUCCUCAUAACAACUUCCAAGGCCCCAGGUCAAAUUGGGAAACAUGCUUUCUCAUUUUAGUAGUUAUAUGUAUAUUUGUCUUUGCCAUUCUUAGUUCCCUCUUGAACUUCAGUGGAAGGGGAAGAUAAAAAAAUUUAAAAAAAAGACGAAUCAUACAAUACGCGAUAUUACUUUUAAGAUGAUUUGGAAUCAAGUAGUUAAGACUGAUCAAUGGACCUGGAUAAGGGCUAAUUCUAAAAGAUGGUGUAUGUUUUGUUUUCAUGUUUAUUUAAAUGUGUGCUACAUUAUUUUCUUAACACUGUUCUGGUAAAUAUUGAGAGAGGUUGUUUUCAUGGACCAAAUACUGAAAAAUCACAGUCUCCAGUGUGUCACUUCAAGUCAGCACUAGUUUAUGCUAAAGUACCAACAUAAAAACGAUCUGAUCAGUACAUGAUCUUUACAAAGUGUCGACAUCAGUUAAAGACAGUGGUGUAAUGUUAAUUCAGAUUAAGACUUGCAUAUUAAAAUUUAAUUUGUAAGAAUCUUACUUGCCUGGGAAAAUUACAUAACAAAAGAUGAAGGACAUGUUUUACAUUUAGACCAAGCAGUGUGGUCCAAGGAGUACUACUUACAAAAAAAUAAACCACACAGUUAAUUACAGCACAAACUCUUCUUUAAAAUAACUAUUUUUGUACACAUUAACGCAUUAUACUGGUUUUAACACUUCAGGCUUAAUUCAUAUUCAAUGUCAUGCUCCAGCACCUCUAAUCCAAUAGUGGUGACUCACUGUUCUUUCAUAUGUGUUUCCUAGAGAUGAAGAGAAAGCAAAUAGCUCUGAUGCAUAGAUGAAACCAACAAGUGAAAGGAUCUAUGGCGUGCUAAGCAUAGCUCACAUUGAUAAUGUAUUAGCAUAACAAACAAAAAAAAGAGAUGUAUAUUUUACAUAUGGUUUUGUAUUCUUGCUACAAUAUUGUAAAUGGGGUGUUGAUUGAAUACUCGCUGCCAUUUGUUUGGUGUGUAAAUAAAAGGUUUAAAAGACAA